GGUAUAUCCUCCAUUGUGAGAACAGUAAUUGACAGAGGAUAGUGCUCAGCAAGUAUACUUAAACAAUGAAAUACAUUAUAUGUCUAUAAUUUUGAAGUUCAUUUGUUUGGACUUUUGUCUCCCUGAAGCUAAUAUAGAUGAGGAAUCUGAAGCUCACUACUGAUGGAACAGUCAACUAAAAGAAUUUCUUCCCCUUUAAGGCAACUUUCUCCAAGAGGAUGUGAACGUUUACUAAUGAAUCACCCUGAGUUCUCACAUCACACCCCUCCACAUUAUUCCUUGAAGGCUCUGAGGUCACUGCCUUGCUGAUCUCAAAGAGAGCAGUAGCUGUGGCUCUGUGAACCCCACUCUUCCACGCCAUGGUUUCAAUAGCAUUAUUUUUGUCAAGUAAUAUAGGACUCGUCUACUUUUUUCUGCCCAAGAAAAGAGAAUUAAAACCUUAACAGACCCUCUGGUUUAAAGAAAACCACUGUGUGGAUGCCCAGCAGCACUGAGCAAACCUGGACAAAAAAAUGAACUAGGAAUUGGACAAGAAAUGAACUAGGAAUCCAAGCAGUGGGUGUGCUGAUAUUUUGUUACAGAAUUCAUGUGUCAAGGAGUCUUGGACAAGCAGCAUUUCCAUACUUAAACUGAGCAAUCAAUUGAGGCUCGAAAGAAAGCAAAGGGAGUGUACUCUGCAGCUGUCGAUGAAAUUGUGAAAAGCUUCUGAGGGUAUUCUUCCAUCUUUUUCCAGUAUAAAGAGAUUGGCAGCCAAGAAAAUCAGCUCUAAUCAAAUCAAUUACGUUGCAUUAUAUCAUGUGAACAAUGCGUGUCUAUGCCAAUCUUUCCAUGGAACAAUUAAAUGAAGCAUUUAUAAUUCAAA